rnacentral:rRNA from 1 species
AUGCCGACGGUCAAGAUCGUCGAAUUCGACAGCGUCGCCCCGCCGCCGGAGGACUUGUUACUCAGGCUGUCCGCGCUGGAAGCACCGUGGGUCGUGCUCCCGGUAAUCCAGCGCGUGUUCCUCUUCGACGACGCCGGCUGCCAGCACCCACCCUUCGCAUCUCUCGAUCGUCUUCCUGCCGUCCACCGGCGACGCCGCAAUCGACUGCUCGCCUCCGAGGGAAGCGGCGUGCGGUUCAUCGUCGCGGAGAGCGACGACGCGGACGCGGGGCGGCUGGCCGGGGACGCGGACCACGACGUGGACGCGUUCAAGGCGUUCGUCCCGAAGCUCAAGGUCGACGCGCUCCCCGCGGAGGUGCUGGCUGUGCAGGUCACACGGCUGAAGGGUGGGGUGGCGGUCGGCGUGGUGAUGCACCACGCCGUGGUCGACGGCCGGUCGGUGUGGAGGUUCCUUCAGGCGUGGGCGGCGGCCUGCCGCGGGGACGACGCUGCCGCAGAGGCGGUUGUGGCCGGCCUGACGUUCGACCGCGCGGUGAUUGCGCUCCCCGGCGGCGAGGAGCACACGAGGAGCACGCUGCGUAAGUACGCACCAAAUCUGCCGCUGGAAAUCAACCUGUUUCCGAACGCCCCAAUUAAUCUCCCUCGCCGGACGUUCACCGUCACCGCGCAGCAGAUUCACCGCCUGAAGCAACGCGUUUCCGGCCACACUGCCCCCGCGCAGGCCGGUUCCACGCCCGCGCCGUCCAGCUUCGUGGCCGUCGUGGCGCUCGCCUGGGUGUACGUCUUCUUCUUCAUCGACUGCCGCGGGCGGCGCGGCAUCGACCCACCCGUGAGCCAGAACUACUUCGGGACGUGCAUCACCGGGUGCCUCGCCAAGGCCACGGCGCGGGACCUCCUCGCCGUAGAUGGUUUCGCAGCCGCCACGGCGGCGGUGCAGCGGGAGGUCCGGCGAGCGGCCGAGGACCCGCUCGCCCUUUGGGACUGGAUGGACCUGCUGUCGUGGAUGCCAAUGGACCGGUUGGUGAACAUCUCCGGGUCGCCGCGGUACCCGGCGUACGAGGUGGCCGACUUCGGGUGGGGCGCGCCGAGUAGGACGGAGCUGAUCACCAUGAACAACUGCGGGCAGGUGGUGCUCGUGGCCGCCAAGGGCGGCGGCGGCAGCGUGCAGGCAUCCGUGUGCAUGCACCCGGAUCACAUGGGCGCGUUCAAGUCGCACUUUCUUAAUUCCUUGUCAGGUUGA